AAAUUGAAGAGUUUGAUCAUGGCUCAGAUUGAACGCUGGCGGCAGGCCUAACACAUGCAAGUCGAACGGUAACAGGAAGCAGCUUGCUGCUUCCCUGACGAGUGGCGGACGGGUGAGUAAUGUCUGGGAAACUGCCUGAUGGAGGGGGAUAACUACUGGAAACGGUAGCUAAUACCGCAUAA
rnacentral:rRNA from 1 species